rnacentral:rRNA from 1 species
UACGUAGGGUGCAAGCGUUGUCCGGAAUUAUUGGGCGUAAAGAGCUCGUAGGCGGUCUGUUGCGUCCGCUGUGAAAACUCGGGGCUUAACCCCGAGCCUGCAGUGGAUACGGGCAGACUAGAGGUAGGUAGGGGAGAAUGGAAUUCCCGGUGUAGCGGUGAAAUGCGCAGAUAUCGGGAGGAACACCGGUGGCGAAGGCGGUUGCCUGGAGCUUUGCUGACGCUGAGGCGCGAAAGCGUGGGGAGCGAUCCGG